rnacentral:rRNA from 1 species
AGGGUGUAAACGCUGCAGACUUGGUGUUGGAGGCCCUUUGGGGGCAUUCAGUGCCGGAGAGAAGUUGUUAAGUCUGCUACUUGGGAGUACGUCCGCAAGGAUGAAACUUAAAGGAAUUGGCGGGGGAGCACCGCAACGGGAGGAGCGUGCGGUUUAAUUGGAUUCAACGCCGAAAAACUCACCAGCAGCGACUGUUACAUGAAAGUCAGGUUGAUGACCUUACUAGAUUUUCAGAGAGGUGGUGCAUGGCGUCAGUGACU